AUGUGCAGUGAUGAUAUUUGUGUAUCCCAGCUCAUUAUGAGAUCUUUCGUAGGUCAAGGAAUGAACGAUUUCCACAUUUAUCUGAGCCCAGGU